UGGGGAAUAUUGGACAAUGGGGGGAACCCUGAUCCAGCCAUGCCGCGUGUGUGAAGAAGGCCUUAUGGUUGUAAAGCACUUUAAGCGAGGAGGAGGGUACUGGUAUUAAUACUACCAGGUACUGGACGUUACUCGCAGAAUAAGCACCGGCUAACUCUGUGCCAGCAGCCGCGGUAAUACAGAGGGUGCGAGCGUUAAUCGGAAUUACUGGGCGUAAAGCGUUCGUAGGCGGCUAAUUGAGUCGGAUGUGAAAUCCCCGAGCUUAACUUGGGAAUUGCAUUCGAUACUGGUUAGCUAGAGUGUGGGAGAGGAUGGUAGAAUUCCAGGUGUAGCGGUGAAAUGCGUAGAGAUCUGGAGGAAUACCGAUGGCGAAGGCAGCCAUCUGGCCUAACACUGACGCUGAGGUACGAAAGCAUGGGGAGCAAACAGG
rnacentral:rRNA from 1 species